CCCUUAUAUAUAUGGAUCAUAUAGAAUUUUUUACAUUUGGAGGCACAUUUUGUCUUAUCAAUUACACUGCAGGACACAAUGUGCUUGUAAGACACUUUCUAGUGUUAAAAAGACCAAAAACUCCCUAACUGAAAAAAUCUGUACAUUAACACUUUUUUACUUUUUUUCUUGUUUCUCUCAUUCUUUCAACGUGACUUUAUCCAAAUUUCAUCUUCCAAUUAUUCUAUCACUUCUUUUUUUUUUCUCUCCCUAACACAAAAGAAAAAAGGCGAACUGAAAGACUACCGUUUGUAAAAAAAUGAAAAGAUGUAGAAAAAAAGAAGAAGUGUGUUGUGGAUUUCAAAAUCCAGAUCUGCAAAGUUACGAUUUCAGAAUCCAGAUCUGUAAAAGAUGUGGACGGAUAGCGUGUGGAUGGGGUUGCGUGGAUAAGUGGUGUGUGGAUAGAUGAAGCGUGGAUGUGUUAUGUGUGGAUGGUUGAAUAGAUCUCUAGGAACUAGUGGGUGGCUUCAACCUGGAAAAUUUUAUCCACAAAGAAGAUUAUCUUUCUUACAUUUUCUACAUCGAACACAAACUAUAAAUUCAUAUAUUUGAUGAAAUCUAAUUAUCACUUUUUAAAUUAUAUCCACAUUUUCUUUGUCUAUAAUUCAUUCAUUUAUAUUUUUUUUCUUGUGGAUGGCUUAUCCAUCCAAUACUAUCUAAAAUAUUUUAAUUAUAAAAUCAUUUUCUAUGUUUUUA